GCGCCUGUAGCUCAGUUGGAUAGAGCAACGGACUUCUAAUCAGUAGGCCGCAGGUUCGAAUCCUGCUAGGCGCGCCA
rnacentral:tRNA from 1 species